UUACAACAUGCUGACCAUCAUGACCUGCCGCAAAAUGCGCAAUUCUAGGACUUUUACCAAAAACACUGUUUUUAGUAAACCAAAUUCUUUCCCUGCUGUAACCAUUGAAAUUUCAUCAUCGCAUCCCGGAUUCAAACGGCAAUUCAGAGGCAACUGUUACAGGAUUACUUAGCGUAUUUAUUGUACGCACUACAAAGCCUUCCUGUUAGGAGAAGAUGAGAACAAGUUGAUUAUAUAAAUAUCUCAAACAAUAAUAUGUAUAUAACUGCAAUAAUUACAUCUUUGCCUGCUGUUAUCAUUCCUAAAUUUUCGCCAUCAGAGAACAUGACAGAAGCUGACCAAUCUUUUCCUUCCAACACGGCAAU